GGCCCCACGGUCCAGAGGUUGAGAUACCGGCCUUUCAAGCCGGAGAUGUCGGGUUCGAUUCCCACUGGGGUCA
rnacentral:tRNA from 1 species